AUGUGCAAUGGCCUGACCUCUGGAGGUGAGAAGGCAACAUGGCAGGAUAUGCUGCACUUGGCCAGAAAGCCCAUAAAGCGUGUCCCAAUGGCAACCUUCUCCCACAUGGUGCGGAGUCUACAGAGCCUGAUUGAUCCAUCCCACUGUUACGGCCCGGAUGACCUCCUGGCACUGACCAAUCCUGAGGUCAAGCUGGCCUUUAAAAAAGAGCUCCUCCUACCAGGAGAGGCUGACUGGACCAGGGCUCAUAUCCUGUUGGCAGCCCAUCUUUGGGUGCUGGCAGAUCCUCAGGGAACAUGCACAUUUCUUCACUGUGAGGCCAGCUCCAUCUUGAACCUGCCAUUCCACCUGGUCAGUGACACUUCCUCUAGCUUUUUAACCUCUCUCCCAGUUGACCUCUGUGUCACUGACCACACCUUAACACUUGGUUGUCUUUGGUCAGAUGAGAAGUGGCCAGUGGGACGCGCUGCAUUGCCUGCUCUCUAG
rnacentral:lncRNA from 1 species